rnacentral:snRNA from 1 species
AUCGCUUCUCGGCCUUUUGGCUAAGAUCAAGUGUAGUAUCUGCUCUUAUCAGAUUAAUAUCUGAUAUAUCCUGUAUCUGAGGACAAUAUAUUAAAUGGAUUUUUGGAACAGGGAGAUGGAAUAGGAGCUUGGGCUCCAUCCACGCCACACAUUGACCUGGUAUUGCAGUACCUCCAGGACCGGUGCACUAAGA